UACACGCUCCUUAGAUCCACUCUCGGGUCGUUGAUUGUCCAGGUCUACAGACCAGCAACUUGAUUGUUGUUCCAUCGAGAGUGCUUGAGUCAUUGGCGUGUAAUAUUAGUACACCUCAGUUAAUGGUCUCUGAACUUCUGCUAGCCAGCUAACUGUGGCUUCUUGUGCAGUUGUUAUAACCAUUAUCUGGGACAAA